CAGCCGCCGCGGGAACACGUAGGGUGCAAGCGUUAAUCGGAAUUACUGGGCGUAAAGCGUGCGCAGGCGGUUCUAUAAGACAGAUGUGAAAUCCCCGGGCUCAACCUGGGAACUGCAUUUGUGACUGUAGAGCUGGAGUGCGGCAGAGGGGGAUGGAAUUCCGCGUGUAGCAGUGAAAUGCGUAGAUAUGCGGAGGAACACCGAUGGCGAAGGCAAUCCCCUGGGCCUGCACUGACGCUCAUGCACGAAAGCGUGGGGAGCAAACAGGAUUAGAUACCCCCGUAGUCCCUGUCUCUUAUAC
rnacentral:rRNA from 1 species